AAAAUGCAAUGUGCAAUUUAUUUUCGGUUUCAAUACAUUAUUUUACGCUGUCAAUAUUGUGCAAUUGUUGUCUGAUCAUCAUAAAAAAAUCAUAUUAAAUUUCGCCAAUCCCCUGGAAUUUUACGCCCAAAUGAAAAUCAACUUCCGAUCGAAGAUUUGAGCGCGACAACUACCACAGAAGAUUAGCCGACCUAAAGCCACUUCUCCAGCAGAAGGAAGGUAGCCCGAUUGUUUUUCAGACCUGGGAGGUGGCAUCUUUGUUUCGUAAUGACAGUGACUCUGCAGUGAGAUUGGUACCUCUUAGACGGUUGCUCAGUGGGUGUGUUGUCUUCGAGCCCUUGGGUACGUUUCAGUAGAAUGGAUAUAUGAAUUUAUUUCUUUUUAUCACAUUUGAAAUACAAGAAAUGUUAUAUGCUCUAAUUUAGGUUAUGCUAUACAGUUGAGUAUUUGAGUCAUUUGACUUUAUUUGAAGCACAAUGAUUUCUUUCCUCUUAUUGAAUUAUAAAUGAAUCUUGAAAUCUUGAUGUUAGACAUGCAUGGAUUUGGUAGUUCAGAUGAUGUUCAUAAAUUUGGUAAUAAGACAAAAUGUAAACAAGCUCUCGUGUAAACACAAAUGAAGUCGAGAUUUAUCAAGUAAUCAAUAGAACAGCAUAGAUUGGUAUACAGUUGAAAGGAUAACUUCAUGCAUUGAUAAUUUGAUAUGCAACUUUUAUCACAUGUUGUAAUCAUCGUUACUGAGUUUAUAAAACGUGUAACUGCAUGUUAA